CCCACCCUUCCCCGCCGAGCUUGUUCCUCUAGCCACCCACUCGUCUCCUCCUCUCCCUCUCUCUCUUCUAGCUUCCUCCUCCUUCCUGAUCUCUGCGUCGGCCGGACCGCGAGAGGAGCGGCGGUGGCGGAGACGCUUCGGUGGCGGCAUCGAGUUGCGAACCCCAGGACCAGGUCUGGGGGUUCGGUUCCAAGGCGCGGACGGCUUCUCCGUCUAUGACGUCGGGGCAAGUGCACACCCCAGUCCCCUCCUCCUGCGCAAACCCUACGAGAGAGAGAGGAAGAUGAGAGGGAGGGAGAGAGCAUGACCGGCGUCGGCCUGCGCCGGCGAGGACGGGCGCGGCCUGGAGGUUGGCCGCUGCUCGAUCCGCUCUUGGAUCGGGAGCUGCGACGAAGCUGGGGUUCGGGCGCGUUGCACGGGAGGCUGCACUCCACCUCUUCCUCGUGGUGCGGCGGACAGCGGCUCUUGCGGUCGUGCGGCCGACGGCGGCUUCAGUGGGUGGUCGACGACACUUGCAGCUGGUGCUCUACCCAUGGAUUCCGGCACAACUCGAAAUACUCAGCACAAAUUAGGCCUCGGCCAAUGGUGGAGAAGACAGACUACAGGGACGAGCCGCUGGAGCACGUGUUCAUGGGAUGUUCGCGCGCAAGAUGUAGAAGUUCGCCGGAAGGAAGAAGAGCUGGCCUGCGAGGAUGAGGAGAAGGCGGGAUGCGAGGUGCUUGCACGCACAGCGGCAGGAGGCCGUCCGUGAGGUGCUCCUCUGGAUGCUCCCUUCCGGCGUUGGGCCUAGGUGUUCAACGCCGCCCUCACCAUCCCCUUCUUCCAUUGGCUCAUCGGCCCGUAAGAGGUUAUUGAGGUGGAGGUCAACGGUGUGAGGUGGAGAAGUGGAGUGCUUAUAAAGAAACACAGGUAUGUAUGAAUAUGAUGGAUGCUUCCAUUGCCAACUGAUGAAAUGCAUGUCUUGUGUUUGCGCAGCUGCUGCCUGGAUUCGCCGCUGCCGCCUCCAGUCGCUUCUUCCUGGGCAUCCCGUCUCUAGCAAGGUAUUUCUGUUCCGGUCCCAGCUGUUCUCCUAGCCUCCGUGCUUGAUUGCUACGAGUUCUUGUUGUGUGUGUGCUUGCUGGCUUAGUGAUGUGUGUGUCCAGGCACCCAUUGUAUUUUUUUGCUGGCUUGCUGCUGCGUGCAUGAUUGUUGUGGCUAGCUUGGUGGUAGCAUCAUACAUACUGUUCUGGUUGGUUAGCUUCACGCUCUAAAGCUAGGAUUUUAAUUCUCUGAGUGUAAGUAAUGUAUUGUUAUACCAGAUGAAAUAUAUGCAGGCACUGCUAACAUGAUUUUGCUUAUAGGCGGAAGUAUAUUUUUUAAAUCCAUCUGUUCAAUUCUUAGGACCAUUCUUUACUAGAAGUCCAGAACUAUGUGAUUUGGUAAUUGUGUCAAAGCUCGCCGGGUUGUGCUGUAUUGCAUUGUGAAUGCUAUGUUGUUGGGGAAUCAGCGAGCUUGGUUAUAUUUCUGUGGCCGUCAUGUUAACUGGUGCCCGUAGCGCUUGCUUGCUAGCUACGAGUUCUUCUUGUGUGUUUGCUUAGUGGCUUAGUUAUGUGUGUGUGUGUGUGUCCGGGCACCUGUUGUGUUUUUUGCUGGCUUGUUGGUGUGUGCAUGAUUGUUGUGACUGGGCGCUGGCUGUUCGGUGCUGGGCUGCUGAUGGCAUGCUACCUCCUUCGAAAAAAGGAAUGAAAUGAAGCAUUUGUUCAUAGAACAAAUAUAUUGUAAAAUUUUCCAUGGAAAGCCUGCAUAUUUAGCAAGGAAAAGGAGUCUAGAGAGCCUUAGGUUCUUGUUAUGUGUUGAUUUUGCAAAAUUUCUACAGCUAUAUAUUUGCUCAAUCCAAAAGACAAAUUGUACUCAACCUUCAGUAUAAUGUAUUUCUAAUUGUUCAUAACUACUUAAUUUUUUGUUGUGAUUUUGCAAGAUAUUGAAACUAUUGUAUUUCGAAAUUGUUAUACUGAUUCCUUGAUGCUCUGUUCAUGGCUUUUUUCUUAUUUUAUCCUUCUUUGCUUUUUUCCUUUCCUACAAGAAGAUGUCGAGUCAUGUAAUAUGUUCAAAGAAGAGAGAAUCUGCAUUUUAUGAAUCCUUUCUUCUUUCUUCAUUGUUACUUCAAGUUAGUGAAUUCAUUUAAGUUGUAUUGAGCAGCUUCAUGUGAUGGUUUCUUCAUCUACACAUCUUAUUCAGUCACGAGGCCAGUAAGAUCUUUUGCCUUUUAGAAAAAGGGAGAUGCCAUUUAGACCUUACUCUUCCAACUUGAUCUUUAACUUGCUACUACUGUUUCUAAGCAUUUUCCCAAGCAUUUUUUAUUUGCUUCAGAGAAUGAGCUCACCUUAUUCAGUGGAUGUGCCAAGUAAAAAAAUUAGAAACUGAGCAAUUAGUUCCACUCUUAAAUUUUGUACAGCAGUCCAAAUUAUCCAAUAAAUCAUUUGUUAGCAGGGUCAAAUUCUAGAAUUUGAAUCAGUUGUUCCAAAUUACCCAGUGAGACUUAUUCCAUUUGUUUAUCCUUUUGUCCUUUUAAUCAAGAACAAUGUUUAUAGCUUACAUGGUUGUCGAAAUUUAGUUCUGUAAAAGAGGAAUAUUGAUAUCAUGCAAUGAUCCGUGCAGAUUAGGAUAGUUAUAGAGUUCUUCCUCAGUUUUCAUUGAGCAAAGAUUGAAUCUGUAUGAUUUGUUCUAAUACCAAGUAAAUCUUGGUCUGCAUUGUGUUAGUUUUCCUACUGAGUUUUUUUGGCUAUUUUUGUUUAAAUUGGUAGUUGAUGUGAAAAAGUGUGUUGACAUGCAUGUAACCAAAUCAUGUAUUAAUGUGAGGUACUACAUAUACUUGCCUAUCUCUUUCCAGAAGCACAGCCCUCUUGAUCCAACUAGGAACAUCAAAACCAAAUGGGAUAUCAUUGAGUGGACUUCAGAUGGCCAUGCUGUGAGUACACCAUUAGUAUCUGAAUCUGCUUUGUAUAAUUAAGACACACUUUCUACAUAUCGCUGCUAUAUUGAUACCAUGUGAUCACUUAACAUGAGUGUGACUAGCCUAUUUUCUUGCCUAACUGUGUGAUUGCAUGUAGUAAUGCAUGGCUUCUCUAUUUAAAUGAAGAGUUGUGUUUAUCAUAAUAGUUAUAUACCGCAGACUUGUUUCUUUCUGUUUAUAUAAUAAUGCAGUUCGUCUUCUACCAUAUGUUUUCUUCAUUACAUGUCUUCUAAUUGUUCAGCUUUUUUUCUCUUUCGACGACAAAAUAACUUCGCGUUUCGAAAUAUUUAGUACGCCAUCAUGGUCUUUCUUAAGGGUGUUCAGGCCUUUUUUUCCUUCUAUAAAUUACUUCCUCCGUUCCAUAAUGUAGUGCCUAUAGAUUUUUACAAAAGUCAAACAUUACAAACUUUGACCAUGUUUAUAGAGAAAAGUUGGUACAUCUAGAAUUCCAAAUGCACAUCAUUGGAUACAUCAUGAGUUAUAUUUUCAGAAUGUACAUGUUUGGAAUGUAGAUGUAGACAAUUUUCUCUAUACACUUGGUCAAAGUUGGCAAAGUUUGACUUUCACAAAAAUCUAUAGGCACUACAUUGUGGAAUGAAGGGAGUAGUGGUCUUCUAUUCAUGUUGCGAACCCCAAUAUGGCAUCUCGCCAUUCCCCACGGUCCACAUGUUAAGUAUGGAUUUAUUUAAUGAUAAUAUGAUAUCAACUGCCUUUUCUUCAGGAUAAUCUGACACCUAAUAAGGACCAAGAGAACAACAGAGAUGCUAAGAGGCAACCUUUUGGGUUUAAGGAUAUAAACAACAUGGCUUACGAGGAUUUGAACUGCUGUUCUUUUAGUUCCACUCUUAAAUGUUUUGGUUCUUGAAGGCCUGCACUUUGCUGGUGGAGUAGGAGCAAAAUAAUUCAAAGGCUUUAAAGCUGCUGCACUUUAGUAGUUAGGAUCAAUUCUUUGUUUUGGUUUGAAAUGCUCCUCAAUUCCUCCUAUUUGAUUGUAUCCAAAGGACAUGAAAUAUAUUCAGAAAGCGUCAGGUUUGUAUUCUGUGUGUGCUUUCAGUUAAUCCUUCAAAAUUUCAUGAUA